rnacentral:ncRNA from 2 species
AAAAGUGAUAGAGGAGCAAAACUUAUUAGUAAGAGCUUGGAGAAGAAUGAGUUUCAAUGAAAAGCUAUGAAAGGAAGUUUUGCCGAAGUGGAAAUUGGCUCAUUUCAGUUUCUGCUGGUUCUGCAUUGAAUAAAUGCAGGAUUGUCAAGAUGUGUGAGCAUCUUGGAGAGCUAUCUCGCGG